rnacentral:rRNA from 1 species
AAACCAGCACCUCAAGUGGUCAGGAUGAUUAUUGGGCCUAAAGCAUCCGUAGCCUGUUCUGUAAGUUUCCGGUUAAAUCCAUUAGCUCAACUAAUGGGCCGCCGAAAAUACUGCAAAACUAGGGAGUGGGAGAGGUAGACGGUACUCGGUAGGAAGGGGUAAAAUCCUUUGAGCUAUUGAUGACCACCUGUGGCGAAGGCGGUCUACCAGAACACGUUCGACGGUGAGGGAUGAAAGCUGGGGGAGCAAACCGGAUUAGAAACCCGAGUAGUCC